rnacentral:lncRNA from 1 species
UAAGUUCCUCCUUCACCUAAGAAACUGAAGCUUCACAUGGCCAAUGAUGCUGUGUAGGUGUCACUUGUCUGUGAGAGCCAAUGAAGAACAUUAAUCAGAAGAACCAAACUCAAGAACAAGGUCAUUUCCUGCUUCACAAGGGCCAUCUUUACUUUGAAAGAUACAGAAAGACUGUGUAUAUCCUUGCUUGUGAUCUUCCCAAUCAGUAGCAUCUGUUUCUAGGUCAGAUGGCAUACAAGUUCCUCCUCUGCUAAGAGUUACUGCUUUUGUGCCUCCCCAAAAAGAUAUAAUAAAAAUAAGAUUGAAUAUGGUCUUUUAAUCUUGGAGUCAUAAAAGAAAUGUUGAGGGGCAGGGGCUCAAAUC